rnacentral:rRNA from 1 species
ACUCCUACGGGAGGCAGCAGUGGGGAAUAUUGGACAAUGGGGGGAACCCUGAUCCAGCCAUGCCGCGUGUGUGAAGAAGGCCUUAUGGUUGUAAAGCACUUUAAGCGAGGAGGAGGCUACUGAGACUAAUACUCUUGGAUAGUGGACGUUACUCGCAGAAUAAGCACCGGCUAACUNCUG